CAAUGGGCGCAAGCCUGAUGGAGCAACACCGCGUGAGUGAAGAAGGGUUUCGGCUACGUAAAGCUCUGUUGUUAAAGAAGAACACGUAUGAGAGUAACUGUUCAUACGUUGACGGUAUUUAACCAGAAAGUCACGGCUAACUACGUGCCAGCAGCCGCGGUAAUACGUAGGUGGCAAGCGUUAUCCGGAUUUAUUGGGCGUAAAGAGAGUGCAGGCGGUUUUCUAAGUCUGAUGUGAAAGCCUUCGGCUUAACCGGAGAAGUGCAUCGGAAACUGGAUAACUUGAGUGCAGAAGAGGGUAGUGGAACUCCAUGUGUAGCGGUGGAAUGCGUAGAUAUAUGGAAGAACACCAGUGGCGAAGGCGGCUACCUGGUCUGCAACUGACGCUGAGACUCGAAAGCAUGGGUAGCGAACAGGAUUAGAUACCCUGGUAG
rnacentral:rRNA from 1 species